rnacentral:rRNA from 1 species
UUUCCCAGUCCCNNCAGUUGUAAAACGACGGCCAGUGAAUUCGAGCUCGGUACCUCGCGAAUGCAUCUAGAUUCCUACGGGAGGCAGCAGUGGGGAAUUUUGGACAAUGGGCGCAAGCCUGAUCCAGCAAUGCCGCGUGCAGGAAGAAGGCCUUCGGGUUGUAAACUGCUUUUGUCAGGGAAGAAAUCUUCUGGGCUAAUACCCCGGGAGGAUGACGGUACCUGAAGAAUAAGCACCGGCUAACUACGUGCCAGCAGCCGCGGUAAUACGUAGGGUGCGAGCGUUAAUCGGAAUUACUGGGCGUAAAGCGUGCGCAGGCGGCUUUGCAAGACAGAUGUGAAAUCCCCGGGCUCAACCUGGGAGCUGCAUUUGUGACUGCAAGGCUAGAGUACGGCAGAGGGGGAUGGAAUUCCGCGUGUAGCAGUGAAAUGCGUAGAUAUGCGGAGGAACACCAAUGGCGAAGGCAAUCCCCUGGGCCUGUACUGACGCUCAUGCACGAAAGCGUGGGGAGCAAACAGGAUUAGAUACCCUGGUAGUCCACGCCCUAAACGAUGUCAACUGGUUGUUGGACGGCUUGCUGUUCAGUAACGAAGCUAACGCGUGAAGUGACCGCCUGGGGAGUACGGCCG